GAGGAUUUAUUACAAGGUGGCCUUCCAGAGAUGGGCGAGAUGCAGCUGAGCAGAUCCACAGAGCGGCCAGCCCCACCUUCCCUCCAGUCUCCCCUCCUGGAAUGAAGCUGAGAGGAGCCUCAGGACCAGAGAAACUCAUCCAGGAUGCUCCCCAAAACCCUCAGAAGCUCCAAGGGCCUGGGCUACAUGGGCCUCAAGAGGCCAGCCUUCCUGGAGGAGACCCCAGUGGUGCCCUGGGCCUCUGGAGCAUGCUUUGAAAUCUCGGUCCUGGCAAGGUCUCCACUAGGCCCCCCUUUGGUUUGCACCUUGCUUCUCUUCUUGAAAUUCUUCUAUGGCUCCCACUCGUCCUUAAUAUAAAAUCCAAACUCUUUAACAUGAUUUCCAUGAUAUUUCAUAAUGUAACUCCAGCCUACAAGAGCCACCAGUUUUGGACACCUCCCCAUCUGGAUCUCAGCUCACCUGUGUCUUCACUUUAAAGCCUUUGCUUAGAUCUAUGCUCUCAUAGUUGAUUCAGACUUCUAACAGGUGUAUUUGUUUGUUCCAAAAUGACAGAAUAUUAGAAGCACCAAAUCAGAGAGAGUGGGAAAGCGUUGCUACAGGUGGAAUACUGAGACUGAUGGUUUAUCAGCAGUGCAGGAGACUGAAAAUCUAUAAAAAGCAAAUCUAGAUACCUAAUAAGUACAGAAAUCCGAGGCCACUUAAUGCAGGCCCAAACACUUGCUCAUCCGAUAGUCCUGAAGAUCAUUUGUUAUGUAAUAUGGUAGAAUUUGGACUCUUCAUGAUGAUAAAGCUAAUGAUGAACUAUUUUUAUUGUACUCUGUUAUAAGAAGGCAUAAUAACAUGCAGUGCUGUUUAGAAUACUUUUCUUAUACACUCGUUAAUGUAAAACAUUUUUUAAGUAUUAGUAUUUGAAUUAAUAAAAUAUUAGUUAUAAAGAAAGCUUGCCUUUCCAAAACAGUGUCCUCUCAUGGGUUUCGUUAAUUGAAGUUUGACUCCAGAGAGAAAGAACGAUCACCUUCUAAUUCUCUGCACCAGUUUUUAAGAGAAUAAAAGUUUUUCGAUAUACAAGAGGAGUAUAUGUUUAUUACAGAAUAUAUAAGUAAACUGAAAGAAAAAAAUUGCACCUGAUUUUGCUUUUCAACAAUAACUGCUGCUAACAUUUUGAAAUAUUUUACUGUAUAUAGAUAUGCAUAUGGUUUUUUUUACAAAAAUGUCACUUAUUGGAAGUUUUUGUGAACUUAUUUACAUGUAUCAUGAGGAUUUUAAUGUAAUAAAUAUAAUUAACAUCAUCAUU